UACGGAGGGGGCAAGCGUUAUUCGGAAUUAUUGGGCGUAAAGGGCGCGUAGGCGGCUUGGCAAGUGGAAGGUGAAAUCCCUCGGCUUAACCGAGGAACUGCCCUCCAAACUGCUUGGCUUGAGACCGGGAGAGGUGAGUGGAAUUCCCAGUGUAGCGGUGAAAUGCGUAGAUAUUGGGAGGAACACCAGUGGCGAAGGCGGCUCACUGGACCGGUACUGACGCUGAUGCGCGAAAGCGUGGGGAGCAAACGGG
rnacentral:rRNA from 1 species